rnacentral:rRNA from 1 species
GANACGCUGGCGGCGUGCCUAAUACAUGCAAGUCGAGCGGACCAAAGGGAGCUUGCUCCUGGAGGUUAGCGGCGAACGGGUGAGUAACACGUGGGCAACCUGCCUGUAAGACUGGGAUAACAUCGAGAAAUCGGUGCUAAUACCGGAUAAUAAAAAGAACUGCAUGGUUCUUUUUUGAAAGAUGGUUUCGGCUAUCACUUACAGAUGGGCCCGCGGCGCAUUAGCUAGUUGGUGGGGUAACGGCUCACCAAGGCGACGAUGCGUAGCCGACCUGAGAGGGUGAUCGGCCACACUGGGACUGAGACACGGCCCAGACUCCUACGGGAGGCAGCAGUAGGGAAUCUUCCGCAAUGGACGAAAGUCUGACGGAGCAACGCCGCGUGAGUGAUGAAGGUUUUCGGAUCGUAAAACUCUGUUGUUAGGGAAGAACAAGUGCCGUUCGAAAGGGCGGCACCUUGACGGUACCUAACGAGAAAGCCACGGCUAACUACGUG